rnacentral:lncRNA from 1 species
GGGAGGGGAGCUGAGGGCAACUCUUGGCCAGCAGACCCUGAGUCAUCCAGGGAAGCCAAGCCAAGCCCAGAGAGGCUGAACCUGGGCAGACAGGUGUCCAGGGCCACCCAGGAGAUAAAAUCUGGGCAGGCUGGAUCCACCGGUGGUUAACAAUGGACAACAGCUGUGGGUCGGCUCCUAUCUACUCUGCCCACCUCGGGCUGUAGCUGCCACACCUUUGGGCCAGAGAAGAGGAUGGACAUAGAAGAAGGACUUGUUUCUCAGGUUGUCUGCCAAGUUUCAGGCUUCAAAAUGUGGCAUACACCACUGCCACCUCUGGGGACCAGAGCACGGCCCAGCCUGCCCUUUGAGGCAGCCAUGAACCUGGGAAAUGCCCCUUUUCCUUUCUUGGUGGUUAACCUUUCCAGGACAUCUUAGGGUGGCCAUCUCAAGCUAAGGUCAGGAAGCUCUGGGGCAGAAGGGGUGAAGAUGUUGCUGGUGAUGAUGAUAAUAAUAACAAUAACAGAGAUGAUGUAGGGAGGAGAAGUGAGCAAUGUGGAAAGAAGACCCGUCUUGCGUGGCAGCUUCAAGCAGCCUGGACACCCUGCUCCUAAUGAUGGAUACCACUUAUUGAAUACCUGGAUGAACCAUGCAUUGUGCUGAGUGCUUGGCAUGUAUCGUGUCAUUUAACCCUCCCCAAAACCCUAUGGAGGUCAUUAUUGUUGUCACAAUGUCCUUUAAGCAGCUUGCCUAAGGUCACGUAGCUGGAUGGAAAAAGUGCCAAAUUUUCUGGAGGCUCACCAUCCCUCUGGCAGAGAGUAAAGCACACAGAAGAGCCAGAGAACCCCUCCUGGGAGGAUGGAAGAUACCAGUCAGGACUCACAUAGCGUCCAGGGAUGGAGGGCAAGAUGGCAGAGGGCAAAAGGAAGGAGCCACUGGAAUGCUUCCAAGUCCUCUGAAGCUUCCGGAUGAAGGCUGAGGUAUUUCUGUGAAGGAAAUGCUGACCAGAGUUUCCUCUUCUUAGAGAAGUUCAUGUUUUUC